rnacentral:pre_miRNA from 1 species
AUAUAAGUACUCUGAGGGAACUUGUUAAAAUGCAGAUUCUGACAUAAUACAUCUAGGCCUGAGAUUCUGCAUUUCUAACAAGCUCCCAUCUGACGUUGCU